AAGUGUUAGAAAGAAAAUUGAGAGAAAACUUGAGAGAGAAAAGUAAAUCAUCGGAGUCCUCAUUGGAGAAUCACCAACGAAAUUCAUCCUCUACCAAGACUUACACUUUGGAGCUUCUUCUUAGAGAGAAGAAAGACUUGUGUUGUUGAGGUUCCUUCUUCCGUCAAGAUUUGAGAGAAAUCUGCAAGGAAACAUCUGCCACUGAUUUUGUGAAGAAAUCAGACGAAAUGUUGAGAUAUGAGAAUCUUUCCAAGAACGGAGAGAGAAGGCGACGACGCGCCACGUGUCAAUCGGCAAGAGGCCCGUAUGCACCAACAACCAUCGGACACGCGUCGAACGCCGCCUGGGGAGACGCGACUCCAACCUUCUAGCGACACGCGUCUGCGGCCAUGCAACUUGACCCGCGUUCCUCGGCUGACCUGGUACCCGUGCAACGAAAUGAAUUGCGGCGACCCGCGGUCCACCAGAACCGAACCAACGACCCGCGGCUGCAGAAAAUCGUGUGCGCGUGACACUCGCGUGUGGAACCUGCGAAUGACUUUGUUCCGACGCAUGGCUAGUGCGUGAAAGCGCCUAUAAUCUCGUUUUCAUCCCAUUCGACUUCUAUUUUCCAUAUUUUCCUCCUAAAUUCAACCCUAACUCUAUUUUAUAUGAAAUAAGAUCUAAUUGAGGAAAAAUCACUACUAUUCGAUAUGCUAAUUGUGUGGAAACGUUGCGUAAGGGCACGCAUCAUCCAGGUAAGUCACCACACGGAACUUUAGGAAGAAAUACUUGUAGGAGUCGCUUGGUUAUGCAUGCAUGCUAGUUUAAUUAUCUUAGGUGGUAGCCUUCCGUAAUUGAAUGUAGGUAUUUGAUUGUUAAGAGUAAGAUGUAUUAUGUGAAAUAUUACGAGAAUUAUCUGAGUAUUGCUAUUAUGUUUUAAGCUUCUACUUUAUAUGUAUAUGUUUAUUUCAUGUUGAAAGGAGGAUAGAAACUUGUGAACUCUGCACUCCGGGAGUUGAUGGAUGUUAUCGCCCCGUUGAACUUGUAUGUUUACUUUGCAUGAAAUAUGUUUGAUGAUGUUUGAUGAUAGUUGUGUGCACACUUAGUUAAUUUUCAUGACCCACAUUUAUGAUUAAGUCUACGGAUUUGUGGUUAGAGUAACAAGACACUAAGUAUAGACCUAAUUUUCCCUAGGAGCAUAAGAAACUAUCAAGGUAAACGAACUACCUCUAGAGUACCCUUAGGUUAACUGUGUGCGAUUGGUGUUAAUGCUUCGUGGGAGACCAGGGGGUUCCUGAUCAGAACUCGUCUACUCUAAAGUUGUUUUAGCAUGGAAAACGGGUGACCCACGUUGAAACGGACCAUUUAGCUGGAUGGGAAUGGGGGAGGUACCCUCCCUAAUCAAUGGGGAUUAUCAUGGGACUAGGGGGUUGCAACUCAUUUACUAGAUAUGACACCCUGUAGUCUCAUAGCCAUGCCGAGGUAGCUACUCACAGAGUACCAGUCAAACACAGGUUGGCAUAAGGGAACUCUUAAGGUAUAAAUGAUAGGACGAAGUACCAAAGAAAUCCCAAGGAGCUAAACCUGAACUAGAUGUUCUAGAAUCAAAGAAAAAGACCGUGGAAGUUUGUCAAAAUUAGGAUGUGAUAAGAGGCUACAAGUAGGUGGCUUACUGAGUAUAAUUCUAUACUCAUUCUUGCUAUACCUUUCCUUUUCAGGUACGUGAGGCGUUGGGUCAACAGAGGGCGCGUUGAAAGAUGUGGAUUGUCACAGAGGAAGCUUGUCCGGGGGCGUCAGUCCAGUCUUACUAAUUAGUACACUUUGUCCUUCAUGUUUUCUUUCCUUGUCUAUAACUAGUCACAUAUGUCCUCUUUGUAUUGAAACACUGUAGUCGAAAGCAUAGAAAACCCUCGCGGGGGGACACUAAAAUAUUUAUCUGCCCUCCGAAGAGAGUGAAUGAGAUAGAAGAUGAGUGGAACAUGGUUUUAUGUAUAUAAGACGGAUGAUAGUUGACAAUUGAAUAGCCCUACCUAUCUUAGAGGUUACAAAGAAAACUCCGAUCAAGAUAGAAACUUGGGGAGGACAAACUGGUUUUGUGAUUGUCAAGAUGAACGACUUCAACAUCG